rnacentral:lncRNA from 1 species
UUUUUAAAUACUGUCUCCAAAGAUUAAAUUGUAAUUCCUAUUUGCAUGACUUUUACUUAUCUUUUCCCCUUCAAAACAAAUUUGUCAUAUAGAAUCAGAGUGUGGCUACAUUUGAAGAAUUAGAGAUCACUCUUUUUAACCUAUUAUUGAUGAAUAUAAAUACAUAUUAAAAAUAAGAAUACAAAAAUCAUAUUUAUCAACACAUUAGGAUAGAUUUUUCACUGACAACUACAUUUAAAUGAUAACUAUUUUGGUUUUGGACUCCCAAACAAAACAUUUAGAAUGGAACCUCUAUUUGUACUUUUUUUCUUAAAUAGCAAAUGAUCAGCUUCCAAGUCCCCUUGCAAUGCAGACUAUUUAGGAGGCUCCCCCACCCCAUGCUAACUUGUAUUAAUACUUGCUUUCCAUUGGCUUCCUCACUGUCUGGAAUUAGACAGUACAAGUUAUUCUCCUUCAUGAAUGAGGCUUCAACUAGUAGAAAAAUUCUGAAAGCUUAGUGACUAUCAAAUACAGGCAUUGUUUUGAAAUUGCAGUGUUUUAUGGAAAAACAUAUAACUUUCAUUUGAAAAUUACUUUAAAACAAUUUUGAAAAUAUAAAUUUCAAUAAUGUAAAACAUUCUGAAGUUUAUUAAGGACUGAAUACAUUAUCUCACUGAAUCUCCCCCGCAUUAAUCCUACUAGGUAGGCAUCAUUUCUACCACUUUACUAUGAAAUAACUAAAGUUUACAGGUCAAGUAAUUUGACUUAAUGAUUAGGAUACAGUCCCAAAUCCUGACUAUGAGAUACAAAGUCCACAGACCCCUAUCUACUUCCAUAGCACCAUCUUCCCCACCAUCUUGCGGGCAUCAUCCCCUCCAGCUAUACUCAGUUAUUCCUCAGUGCUCUAUCUGGCCCCCAGCCAUUGCCCCAU